rnacentral:lncRNA from 1 species
GCAGAUUGGACAGGAAUCGAGCCAAAAACAGUAGGGUAAGCAGGCGAAUCUGCAGAUGGAGCAAAAGCAGGUGAAUCUUCUUCAUAUGUUGUUCCAUUUCCUCCUGGUAUUGAAAUAUGAAGUUUCUGUGACUUUUCACAGUGUCCUUCUGCUCCACUUGUGAAGUAAAAUUCCCCAGGUUUUGUAAUGUUGAAUAGAGAAUUUCCAUUGUUCAUAUACAAGAUUGGAUUUUUAAGGUUGCAACUAUUGUAAUUCGCUUUCGUCACUUGUAUUACUGAAUCCUCACUAGGUGGGUACAAAAACAUGAUUGGAUCUCCAAUUUUGAAGACAUGAUUCUUGGACCAUUUGGUAUAGACAUCUUUAUUUGCAGAAGAGGGCUGCAAAAAAAAAGAAGAUUAAUUCAAGAGCCAAAUUGAUGGGGUUGAAUAUUUUAUUAGAGGGUAUGUAGGAAUAGGAAAAUCUUGAAGAUCUAAGCAAGAAAUGGGAGGCUUACUGAUUGAAUCUUCAAUUUUGAAGACAUGAUUCUUGGACCAUUUGGUAUAGACAUCUUUAUUUGCAGAAGAGGGUACAUUCCAAGCACUUAAAUCUCCAACUUUGUACUGAUAACACAACACUUUGGUUUGUAUUAAUAGAAAGAACUGAAAAAGAAUGUACAAAGAAUGGUACUUUCUUGGAAUACUAAGAGUAGCCAUAACUUGCGCAACUUUGUCUCUCUUCGCUCUUUGUUUCCUUUUUG